rnacentral:tRNA from 1 species
GGCUUGGUAGCGCGUCUGCCUUGUAAGCGCUAGGCCGCGGGUUCGAUUCCCGCCCGGGGCA